rnacentral:rRNA from 1 species
AACGAACGCUGGCGGCAUGCCUAAUACAUGCAAGUCGAACGAGAUCUUCGGAUCUAGUGGCGCACGGGUGCGUAACGCGUGGGAAUCUGCCCUUGGGUUCGGAAUAACGUCGGGAAACUGACGCUAAUACCGGAUGAUGACGAAAGUCCAAAGAUUUAUCGCCCAGGGAUGAGCCCGCGUAGGAUUAGCUAGUUGGUGGGGUAAAGGCUCACCAAGGCUACGAUCCUUAGCUGGUCUGAGAGGAUGAUCAGCCACACUGGGACUGAGACACGGCCCAGACUCCUACGGGAGGCAGCAGUAGGGAAUAUUGGACAAUGGGGGCAACCCUGAUCCAGCAAUGCCGCGUGAGUGAUGAAGGCCUUAGGGUUGUAAAGCUCUUUUACCCGAGAUGAUAAUGACAGUAUCGGGAGAAUAAGCUCCGGCUAACUCCGUGCCAGCAGCCGCGGUAAUACGGAGGGAGCUAGCGUUGUUCGGAAUUACUGGGCGUAAAGCGCACGUAGGCGGCGAUUUAAGUCAGAGGUGAAAGCCCGGGGCUCAACCCCGGAACUGCCUUUGAGACUGGAUUGCUAGAAUCUUGGAGAGGCGGGUGGAAUUCCGAGUGUAGAGGUGAAAUUCGUAGAUAUUCGGAAGAACACCAGUGGCGAAGGCGGCCCGCUGGACAAGUAUUGACGCUGAGGUGCGAAAGCGUGGGG